GCUUUGGUGGCCUAGUGGUUAGAGUAUCCGCCACGGAUGCGGGAAGUCGUGGGUUCGAACUCUGGCCGAGUCA